GACAGAGGCCUCAAGCGUUAGGCGGAAUCACUGGGCUUAAAGCGUGUGUAGGCGGAUCGUUAAGUGCCUUGUGAAAUCCCACGGCUCAACCGUGGAACUGCUUGGCAUACUGGCGGUCUUGAGCCAUCUAGGGGUCGCUGGAACAAACGGUGGAGCGGUGAAAUGCGUAGAUAUCGGAAGGAACACCGGUGGCGAAAGCGGCGCGCUGGACCUCUUCUGACGCUGAGGCGCGAAAGCCAGGGGAGCAAACGGG
rnacentral:rRNA from 1 species